AGCGAACGCUGGCGGCAGGCUUAACACAUGCAAGUCGAGCGGGCACUUUCGGGUGUCAGCGGCGGACGGGUGAGUAACGCGUGGGAACGUGCCCUCUGGUUCGGAAUAACUCAGGGAAACUUGAGCUAAUACCGGAUACGCCCUUUUGGGGAAAGGCUUGCUGCCGGAGGAUCGGCCCGCGUCUGAUUAGCUAGUUGGUGAGGUAACGGCUCACCAAGGCGACGAUCAGUAGCUGGUCUGAGAGGAUGAUCAGCCACACUGGGACUGAGACACGGCCCAGACUCCUACGGGAGGCAGCAGUGGGGAAUAUUGGACAGUGGGCGCAAGCCUGAUCCAGCCAUGCCGCGUGAGUGAUGAAGGCCUUAGGGUUGUAAAGCUCUUUUAUCCGGGACGAUAAUGACGGUACCGGAGGAAUAAGCCCCGGCUAACUUCGU
rnacentral:rRNA from 1 species